UUUUUUUUUUUUAACCUAAUAAAACUUCAGUCUCUUCCCAUUUUCGUAUAGGAAGGAGAGAUUGUGCCCUCCUUCCAAACCUCCCCUGACCUCUCCAGAGCAAUUCCUGAUUAACCAAGGGCUUUGUCCAUCUCAUCCAGAGGAACCCAGGGUCCUCGUUGGCCCGGCUGGGACCAUUCCACUGCCCCAGAAUACCAGGGGGCCAUGACAGCACCCACUGACAGUAAGAGCUCACUUCCCUUGGCUGCCCUUCUCCUGCAUCUCCCAGGCCCCCAGAGUCUCCCCUUCGAUCUUUCUCCCUAGCUCUGUGUUUGGCCUACUCCUUCUGGCUUUCCUCAACAGUGUUCCACAUUCCCCUCAAAUUCCCUUUUGGUGUGCUGGCAUUGCCAUGGUGCUGCUCCUGCAAGUUCUCAGGAGGAACUGUGGUGUCAGGGAGCAGAGGUUUGGGGUUGGGGUAUAGUGGCUGGGAGGAGGGGUGCAAAGUAUGUCUCCUAACGCUUACCCUGCCUAUGUCCCCUCCACUGCCAGCUCCAGCAAGGAAGCUGCCACCCAAGAGAGCAGAGGGAGACAUCAAGCCAUACUCCUCUAGUGACCGAGAAUGGGGACUCCCCCAGGUCUGGUAGCCCAAAGCUGCUGCUACAGCCGCCAUGGGGGGGUGAAUUCCUCAUCCCCCAAUACAGGCAACCAAGACUCCAAGCAGGGAGAACAGGAAACAAAGAAUAGGUGAGGUCUAAACCCCUCCCCUAACAGCCUCCCACCACCAUCUGACUCCCUUCCUAACAUCAUUCUCAGUCACUUCCUACUCUUAAAUCUUAUUGUAUGAACUGGACACCAGCUCCUCCCACAAUUCCUUCUACCUUACAUCCUGCAAGCCCCUUUCCCCCACAGGUUCAACUCUGGUACUUCCCUUUGGAAUACGGAUUCUCUGAGAGGUUUUAAAUUUGGACAUAGCACUAAUGGUUCCAGCUUCAUACCCAUCAUGUGUCCUACAUUAAAACCUGGCCCGAGACCUUGAAGAGUCUGUAAUCUUAAUUUCCUCUUUAGUAUUCCUAUAACCCACUCUCCAUCUCCCCACCUACCAGGUCUGCCAGUGAGGAGCAGGCCUUGUCACAGGAUGGGUCUGGGGAGAAGCCCAUGCACACAGCUCCUCCACAGGCCCCGGCCCCGCCAGCCCAGUCCUGGACAGUGGGUGGGGACAUACUCAACGCCAGGUUCAUUCGAAACCUGCAGGAACGUCGCAGCACCAGGCCUUGGUGACCGCAGCCCCGUCAAACAUCUUCAAAGUAUUAUUUCUCCCUCACUACAGGAAAGAGCCAAAGCCCAACCCUCAUAAUAGAUGGAUACAUUCAUUCAUUCAUUCAUUCAGCAGGCUUAUCAGAUUCAAGUCAUUUGUAUCUUUUAACCAGACCAAUAAAAGUAUUUAUUUUUAUCAC
rnacentral:lncRNA from 1 species